CAAUAGCGUAUAUUAAAGUUGUUGCAGUUAAAAAGCUCGUAGUUGAAUUUUUGCUUGCCGCCGAUGUCGGAACUUCCGUACGUUCGGCGGCGUGCAUCCUUGGGUGGAACCUGUGUGGCAUUAGGUUGUCGUGCAGGGGAUGCUCAUCGUUUACUGUGAAAAAAUUAGAGUGUUCAAAGCAGGCUUACGCCGUUGAAUAUAUUAGCAUGGGAUAAUAAGAUAGGACCUUGGUACUAUUUUGUUGGUUUGCGCACCGAGGUAAUGAUUAACAGGGACAGUUGGGGGUAUUCGUAUUCCAUUGUCAGAGGUGAAAUUCUUGGAUUUCUGGAAGACGAACUACUGCGAAAGCAUUUACCAAGGAUGUUUUCAUUAA
rnacentral:rRNA from 1 species